AUUGAACGCUGGCGGCAUGCCUUACACAUGCAAGUCGAACGGUAACGCGGGGCAACCUGGCGACGAGUGGCGAACGGGUGAGUAAUGUAUCGGAACGUGCCCAAUAGUGGGGGAUAGCCCGGCGAAAGCCGGAUUAAUACCGCAUGAGACCUGAGGGUGAAAGCGGGGGAUCGCAAGACCUCGCGCUGUUGGAGCGGCCGAUAUCAGAUUAGGUAGUUGGUGGGGUAAAGGCCUACCAAGCCUGCGAUCUGUAGCUGGCCUGAGAGGAUGACCAGCCACACUGGGACUGAGACACGGCCCAGACUCCUACGGGAGGCAGCAGUGGGGAAUUUUGGACAAUGGGCGCAAGCCUGAUCCAGCCAUGCCGCGUGCGGGAAGAAGGCCUUCGGGUUGUAAACCGCUUUUGUCAGGGAAGAAAUCUUCUGGGUUAACACCUCGGGAGGAUGACGGUACCUGAAGAAUAAGCACCGGCUAACUACGUGCCAGCCGCCGCAGUAA
rnacentral:rRNA from 1 species